rnacentral:rRNA from 1 species
GCCUAACACAUGCAAGUCGAGCGGUAGCACAGAGAGCUUGCUCUCGGGUGACGAGCGGCGGACGGGUGAGUAAUGUCUGGGAAACUGCCUGAUGGAGGGGGAUAACUACUGGAAACGGUAGCUAAUACCGCAUAACGUCGCAAGACCAAAGUGGGGGACCUUCGGGCCUCAUGCCAUCAGAUGUGCCCAGAUGGGAUUAGCUAGUAGGUGGGGUAACGGCUCACCUAGGCGACGAUCCCUAGCUGGUCUGAGAGGAUGACCAGCCACACUGGAACUGAGACACGGUCCAGACUCCUACGGGAGGCAGCAGUGGGGAAUAUUGCACAAUGGGCGCAAGCCUGAUGCAGCCAUGCCGCGUGUGUGAAGAAGGCCUUCGGGUUGUAAAGCACUUUCAGCGGGGAGGAAGGCGUUAAGGUUAAUAACCUUGGCGAUUGACGUUACCCGCAGAAGAAGCACCGGCUAACUCCGUGCCAGCAGCCGCGGUAAUACGGAGGGUGCAAGCGUUAAUCGGAAUUACUGGGCGUAAAGCGCACGCAGGCGGUCUGUCAAGUCGGAUGUGAAAUCCCCGGGCUCAACCUGGGAACUGCAUUCGAAACUGGCAGGCUAGAGUCUUGUAGAGGGGGGUAGAAUUCCAGGUGUAGCGGUGAAAUGCGUAGAGAUCUGGAGGAAUACCGGUGGCGAAGGCGGCCCCCUGGACAAAGACUGACGCUCAGGUGCGAAAGCGUGGGGAGCAAACAGGAUUAGAUACCCUGGUAGUCCACGCCGUAAACGAUGUCGAUUUGGAGGUUGUGCCCUUGAGGCGUGGCUUCCGGAGCUAACGCGUUAAAUCGACCGCCUGGGGAGUACGGCCGCAAGGUUAAAACUCAAAUGAAUUGACGGGGGCCCGCACAAGCGGUGGAGCAUGUGGUUUAAUUCGAUGCAACGCGAAGAACCUUACCUGGUCUUGACAUCCACAGAACUUUCCAGAGAUGGAUUGGUGCCUUCGGGAACUGUGAGACAGGUGCUGCAUGGCUGUCGUCAGCUCGUGUUGUGAAAUGUUGGGUUAAGUCCCGCAACGAGCGCAACCCUUAUCCUUUGUUGCCAGCGGUUCGGCCGGGAACUCAAAGGAGACUGCCAGUGAUAAACUGGAGGAAGGUGGGGAUGACGUCAAGUCAUCAUGGCCCUUACGACCAGGGCUACACACGUGCUACAAUGGCAUAUACAAAGAGAAGCGACCUCGCGAGAGCAAGCGGACCUCAUAAAGUAUGUCGUAGUCCGGAUUGGAGUCUGCAACUCGACUCCAUGAAGUCGGAAUCGCUAGUAAUCGUAGAUCAGAAUGCUACGGUGAAUACGUUCCCGGGCCUUGUACACACCGCCCGUCACACCAUGGGAGUGGGUUGCAAAAGAAGUAGGUAGCUUAACCUUCGGGAGGGCGCUUACCACUUUGUGAUUCAUGACUGGGGUGAAGUCGUA